AGUGAACGCUGGCGGUAGGCCUAACACAUGCAAGUCGAACGGCAGCACAGUAAGAGCUUGCUCUUACGGGUGGCGAGUGGCGGACGGGUGAGGAAUACAUCGGAAUCUACUUUUUCGUGGGGGAUAACGUAGGGAAACUUACGCUAAUACCGCAUACGACCUACGGGUGAAAGCAGGGGAUCUUCGGACCUUGCGCGAUUGAAUGAGCCGAUGUCGGAUUAGCUAGUUGGCGGGGUAAAGGCCCACCAAGGCGACGAUACGUAGCUGGUCUGGGAGGAUGAACAGCCACCCUGGAACUGAGAAACGGUCCAGACUCCGACGGGAGGCAGCAGUGGGGAAUAUUGGACAAUGGGCGCAGGCCUGAUCCGGCCAUACCGCGUGGGUGAAGAAGGCCUUCGGGUUGUAAAGCCCUUUUGUUGGGAAAGAAAAGCAGCAGGUUAAUACCCCGCUGUUCUGACGGUACCCAAAGAAUAAGCACCGGCUAACUUCGUG
rnacentral:rRNA from 1 species